rnacentral:rRNA from 1 species
GAUGAACACUAGCUAUAGGCUUAACACAUGCAAGUCGAGGGACCGGCGCACGGGUGAGUAACGCGUAUCCAACCUACCCAUAACUAAGGGAUAACCCAGCGAAAGUUGGACUAAUACCUUAUGGUUAUGGAUGGGGAUGCGUCUGAUUAGUUUGUUGGCGGGGUAACGGCCCACCAAGGCAACGAACAGUAGGGGUUCUGAGAGGAAGGUCCCCCACAGUGGAACUGAGACACGGACCAAAUGCGUAAGGGAGGCAGAAGUGAGGAAUAGUGGUCAAAGGAGGCAAGUGUGAACCAGCCAAGUAGCGUGCAGGAGGACGACCUAUGGGUUGUAAACUGCUUUUAUAUGGGGAUAGGUACCAUAAGAAUAAGGACCGGCUAAUUCCGUGCCAGCAGCCGCGGUAAUUC